rnacentral:rRNA from 1 species
AGCGAACGCUGGCGGCAGGCCUAACACAUGCAAGUCGAACGCCCCUUCGGGGGAGUGGCGGACGGGUGAGUAACGCGUGGGAAUGUGCCCUUUGGUACGGAACAACUGAGGGAAACUUCAGCUAAUACCGUAUGUGCCCUACGGGGGAAAGAUUUAUCGCCAUUGGAGCAGCCCGCGUUGGAUUAGGUAGUUGGUGGGGUAAAAGCCUACCAAGCCGACGAUCCAUAGCUGGUCUGAGAGGAUGAUCAGCCACACUGGGACUGAGACACG